GGUUGAUCCUGCCGGACCCGAUUCACGCGUGGCUUAGGCCCGUUUGACGGUUUCGCUGCGGGGCCCCAUACUUCUGCUUCGACGCGGCGGGACAGCCCGCUCCGCGACAACUCCCGGAUCCAACCGGGUCCGGGCCGGUUAGCCCCUGAACUUGACACUCUCAUACGAGAUGUGACAACAUGGGCGGCCGUGCCGGGUCCCAGCAAAACUGGUUCCGGGUGGCACCUUAACAAGUGAAGAGUGACAGAUAAGUCUGUUUGUGUGAGCGGGAACAACCCCGAACCAAUUAGGACAAUCCGCGAGGAGAGUCCUUCUUAUCGGAGAGUUUGAUCCUGGCUCAGGAUAAACGCUGGCGGCGUGCAUGAGACAUGCAAGUCGAACGAACGACCUCGGGCUUGCCUGGGGAAGUGAGUGGCGAACGGCUGAGUAACGCGUGGGUGACCUGCCCAGAAGUGGGGAAUAACUGCCCGAAAGGGUGGCUAAUACCGCAUACGGUCAUACGUUCAUUCGUAGGACCAAAGCCUUAGGGCGCUUUUGGAGGGGCCUGCGUUCGAUUAGCUCGUUGGUGAGGUAACGGCUCACCAAGGCGACGAUCGAUAGGUGGUCUGAGAGGAUGAUCACCCAGACUGGGACUGAGACACGGCCCAGACUCCUACGGGAGGCAGCAGCCGGGAAUUUUGCUCAAUGGGGGAAACCCUGAAGCAGC
rnacentral:rRNA from 1 species